rnacentral:rRNA from 1 species
CCUACGGGAGGCAGCAGUGAGGAAUAUUUGUCAAUGGCCGAGAGGCUGAACCAGCCAAGUCGCGUGAGGGAAGACGGCCCUACGGGUUGUACACCUCUUUAGGCGGGGAGCAAUGCCGGGCACGUGUGCCCGGAGGGAGAGUACCCGCAGAAUAAGCAUCGGCUAACUCCGUGCCAGCAGCCGCGGUAAUACGGAGGAUGCGAGCGUUAUCCGGAUUUAUUGGGUUUAAAGGGUGCGUAGGCGGAUUUUUAAGUCAGCGGUAAAAUGUCCGGGCUCAACCCGGGCCGGCCGUUGAAACUGGGGAUCUUGAGUGGGCGAGAAGUAUGCGGAAGGCGAGGUGUAGCGGUGAAAUGCAUAGAUAUCACGCAGAACUCCGAUUGCGAAGGCAGCAGACCGGCGCCCGACUGACGCUGAGGCACGAAAGCGUGGGGAGCGAACAGGAUUAGAUACCCGAGUAGUC